AUGCUUGUUAUUGCUGCUGCUGCCUCCCGUGCGCCCCCUGGCCGCGCCUGCUCGCCGCUGGCCGUGAGCCCCUACCUGCCACGCUCAGCGCCUCUGCAUGCGCCGGCCGUGCCCGCUUUCCGCCGCCCGCGCCCCCGCUCACCCAUGCUCGCUGCUGCUGCUAGCGCUGCAGUUUGCUGCGUUGCUCCCGCCGCUUCCCUGCUGCCCUUUGCCACUGCUUACAAGCUGCUGCUGCUCCUGGUAAACUUUUUAGCAUUCCUGUACUACUGCCUACUGCUAUUGCUGAUCUAUAAAAAACUCGAUGAAACUUGA
rnacentral:rRNA from 1 species